rnacentral:rRNA from 1 species
GAUGAAUGCUGGCGGCGUGCCUAACACAUGCAAGUCGAGCGGCAGCGCGAGUAGUUUACUACUUGGCGGCGAGCGGCGGACGGCUGAGUAACGCGUGGGAACAUACCCCAAAGUGAGGGAUAACCGCCCGAAAGGGUGGCUAAUACCGCAUAUGAUCUUCGGAUUAAAGGAUUUAUCCGCUUUGGGAAUGGCCUGCGUAC